GACGAACGCUGGCGGCGUGCCUAACACAUGCAAGUCGAACGGAGUUAAGAGAGCUUGCUCUCUUAACUUAGUGGCGGACGGGUGAGUAACGCGUGAGUAACCUGCCUUUCAGAGGGGGAUAACGUUCUGAAAAGAACGCUAAUACCGCAUGACGUCAUAGGACCGCAUGGUCUAGUGAUCAAAGGAGCAAUCCGCUGAAAGAUGGACUCGCGUCCGAUUAGCUAGUUGGUGAGAUAAAGGCCCACCAAGGCGACGAUCGGUAGCCGGACUGAGAGGUUGAACGGCCACAUUGGGACUGAGACACGGCCCAGACUCCUACGGGAGGCAGCAGUGGGGGAUAUUGCACAAUGGGGGAAACCCUGAUGCAGCAACGCCGCGUGAAGGAAGAAGGUCUUCGGAUUGUAAACUUUUGUCCUAUGGGAAGAUAAUGACGGUACCAUAGGAGGAAGCUCCGGCUAACUACGUGCCAGCAGCCGCGGUAAUACGUAGGGAGCAAGCGUUGUCCGGAUUUACUGGGUGUAAAGGGUGCGUAGGCGGAUCUGCAAGUCAGUAGUGAAAUCCCAGGGCUUAACCCUGGAACUGCUAUUGAAACUGUGGGUCUUGAGUGAGGUAGAGGCAGGCGGAAUUCCCGGUGUAGCGGUGAAAUGCGUAGAGAUCGGGAGGAACACCAGUGGCGAAGGCGGCCUGCUGGGCCUUAACUGACGCUGAGG
rnacentral:rRNA from 1 species